rnacentral:rRNA from 1 species
AUUGAACGCUGGCGGAAUGCUUUACACAUGCAAGUCGAGCGGCAGCGCGGGGCAACCUGGCGGCGAGCGGCGAACGGGUGGGUAAUACAUCGGAACGUGCCCAGACGUGGGGGAUAACUACUCGAAAGAGUGGCUAAUACCGCAUACGAUCUACGGAUGAAAGCGGGGGAUCGCAAGACCUUGCGCGAUUGGAGCGGCCGAUGUCUGAUUAGCUAGUUGGUGGGGUAAAGGCCUACCAAGGCGACGAUCAGUAGCUGGUCUGAGAGGACGAUCAGCCACACUGGGACUGAGACACGGCCCAGACUCCUACGGGAGGCAGCAGUGGGGAAUUUUGGACAAUGGGCGAAAGCCUGAUCCAGCCAUUCCGCGUGAGUGAAGAAGGCCUCGGUUGUAAGUA